CUCUCUCAUAUCUUCUCUAUGUUUUUACUCCAAUGGAAGAAGCAACUAGCAAGUACCUAAUUUACAGACUUUUACAUGGUAUCAGAUGCUAUGAUUUGAUCUUCCGCGUUCAAUCAGAUUGUUUGUCUCUUAAUCCAGUUUCUCUGAAACAUCAGGCUAUUGCUCUAAUUUUUUCUGAUUGUUCACUCAAUCAAUUUCUCUGAGGUUUUCUCUGAAUCUCUUCAAUUUUCUCUUAAUUUAUGUUUUCUUUAACUUGAAGCAUUUUUUCUGAAAUUUUCAAUUGAAACCCUUUUUUUUUCCGUCGCCAAAAAUUUCAAUUUGAUUCUUCCAUUUCGUCAGCAAAGACCUUGCUCAGUUUGAAUUGCUGAUUUGUUUGCACAAAAUCCUUGAAAUAUAACAAGAUCUAGUUUCGACAAUUUGUUGACCUAACGUUACAUUACCCUCAAUCACCCGAAAAAAGUGAUCCAAAAAUGGAUUUGACUUUAGGGGUAUGUUCGACCAAAGUGGCAAUUGAUUCAGAAGUGGAUGAAACUAGUAGCACAAUACUAGCAUUGUAAUACCUCGUAUUUUUAUAAUAAUUAUAUAAAGCAUUUUAUGAUUUUUAGAAUUUAUUUCGCAUUUAAAUAUUAUUUAAAUGUAUUUUAAUUAAUUAGAAUAUUUAUUAUUUUAAUUAAUUACAAAACGAAUUUAAUUUUCGAGUCGAAAAAUUUAAUGGGUCGCAAGUAAUUUUAAAGGUUUGGGUUUUUAAAUAAAAAGUCUAACUCGUUUUAUUAAUCGAGCCCAAUCAAAAGAAUUUAAUUCUAAGCUUUAUGCUAGCCCAAUCAUUUAAAUGCUAAGCCCAAUGUCAAAUUUCCAAGCCUAGUCCACUAGGGAUAUGAGAGCCUAUAAAUAGGACUCUCCUCAUUAAAUGAUCCCAUUGUUUUUCAUUAAAGCCUCUCUCUUUUUCUUGCCCCACACUCUUCCUCUCUCUCCUCUCUUGUGUCGGCUCACCCACACCCGCACACCCGAACACGAGCACUCGGUGCCCUGUGUGUCGUGCCGUGCCUUGUUCCCUCGUUGCUCGCCCACUCCCUCUCGCCCUCGCAGCCGCAGCGUGCACUAGAGUGCCCUGCGCUACUGCUCUGCUUGCUGCUGCUGCGUGCCUCGUGCUCGCGCCCAGCGCCCAGCGCCCAACCAACCCCUCUUGCUCUUGUCCCUCUUGCGCGCACAGCGCCCUCGUCCCUCGCCCCUCGUCCCGCAGCGCUGUGCUGCCUGCUCGCUGCCCCUGCUCGUCGCCCCUGCCGCGCGCGCACACGCACCCGAGUGUGUGUGUGUGUGUGUGUGUGUGUGUUCUUGUUCGUUAUUAAAUUCUUUCGCCCAAUCACAAUUAAUUUGUGGUUGUUCCGUGCUAUAGGCCGGAUUGGAGGUGAUUUCUAAGUGAGUGAUCGUUUUUGCAAAGUGGCCCCUACGCUUAGAUAUUCAAGAUUAAUUUAGCAGGUUGGUAGAUCAAAGUACGAUCGAAAUCAUGUAGCUUGGGAUGAUUGAGAGAGUUGCAUUAUUUUGUGCUUUGAAACUAUUUUUAAUACUUUACUUAUGUUUUGAAUUGUUGGAUUUUUAAAUACUUUGGUUUUUGGGCCGUUAUGGUUCCAACUUGUAGGAGGUCUCAAUAAUUAUUAUUUAUGUUGGUUUGAAAGUUAGUUGACAUUAA